rnacentral:misc_RNA from 1 species
CCGAGUUCAUGCCCUUACGGGUAGAUCUCCCACCCUUUGUAUACUAUACCUUUGUUGCUUUGGCGGGCCGCCUAGCUACUGGCUUCGGCUGGUAAGUGCCCGCCAGAGGACCCCAAACUCUGAAUGUUAGUGUCGUCUGAGUACUAUACAAUAGUUA